GAUGAACGCUGGCGGCGUGCCUAAUACAUGCCAGUCGAGCGAACAGACGAGGAGCUUGCUCCUCUGACGUUAGCGGCGGACGGGUGAGUAACACGUGGAUAACCUACCUAUAAGACUGGGAUAACUUCGGGAAACCGGAGCUAAUACCGGAUAAUAUAUUGAACCGCAUGGUUCAAUAGUGAAAGACGGUUUUGCUGUCACUUAUAGAUGGAUCCGCGCCGCAUUAGCUAGUUGGUAAGGUAACGGCUUACCAAGGCGACGAUGCGUACCCGACCUGAGAGGGUGAUCGGCCACACUGGAACUGAGACACGGUCCAGACUCCUACGGGAGGCAGCAGUAGGGAAUCUUCCGCAAUGGGCGAAAGCCUGACGGAGCAACGCCGCGUGAGUGAUGAAGGUCUUCGGAUCGUAAAACUCUGUUAUUAGGGAAGAACAAAUGUGUAAGUAACUAUGCACGUCUUGACGGUACCUAAUCAGAAAGCCACGGCUAACUACGUG
rnacentral:rRNA from 1 species